rnacentral:tRNA from 1 species
GGCUACGUAGCUCAGCUGGUUAGAGCACAUCACUCAUAAUGAUGGGGUCGACAGGUUCGAAUCCCGUCGUAGCCACCA